rnacentral:rRNA from 1 species
CUACGGGUGGCUCCAGUGGGGAAUAUUGCACAAUGGGCGCAAGCCUGAUGCAGCAACGCCGCGUGAGCGAUGAAGGCCUUCGGGUCGUAAAGCUCUGUCCUUAGGGAAGAAACAAAUGACGGUACCUGAGGAGGAAGCCCCGGCUAACUACGUGCCAGCAGCCGCGGUAAUACGUAGGGGGCAAGCGUUAUCCGGAAUUAUUGGGCGUAAAGAGUGCGUAGGCGGUUUUGUAAGCGUGAGGUGAAAGGCAAUGGCUCAACCAUUGUAAGCCUUGCGAACUGUAAGACUUGAGUGCAGGAGAGGAGAGUGGAAUUCCUAGUGUAGCGGUGAUAUGCGUAGAUAUUAGGAGAAACACCAGUGGCGAAGGCGACUCUCUGGACUGUAACUGACGCUGAGGCACGAAAGCGUGGGGAGCGAACAGGAUUAGAUACCCGAGUAGUC